CUCUGGUUCAAAUGCCUCUGACGGUGGCAGAAUAAAUAAGAUAAAGAAAUUGGGUACCAAACUAAGACUUCCAGAACACAAAAGCCAACAGCCAAUAUUUAGUUUUUAGAUCCUCGCUCCAGUAUUGGACCCUAUUGUCUACUCCCUCCUUCAUGGAAAAGAGAUGAAAAGUUCAGAAAGGCAAAUGAGGCAAAAAGAGAAGAGGCAAAGAGGAAAACCAGUGCAGAAUAGUUUAUGAAAAGGGCAUAAAGUUAAAGGUUUCAUGGAUUGAGCAUUUUGUAUGUGUGUGUGAAAUACACACUGGAAGUACAACUGUUUACAACUGUGUGCUUAGGGUGGGUGGGAAGAAGAGAUGAAAGUUUGAAGAGAGCAACUGAAGGGCUCUGAAAGGGAAUACGACAAGGGUUGUGGAUUUUUAGGGUAUUGAAACAGCCUUUACAAAAGUUAUAUCAGUGAGAAAAUUAUAACUGUAAGCUAAGCUAACCCACCCUCCAUCUUGCCUUUUCCUUAACUCUUCCUGGGCUACAGGGCCAACGUAACUUUGGAAGACAUUUAGGCUUCAUUUUAAAUGAUAAUAGGCCUUGCCCAAAACUUGACUGCUUUUGUAAAACUAAUAGGAGGCCUCCAGGCUGAGGGAAGGAGAGGAGCCUGGGUCCUGCUAAAGUGCAGAAAUUAUUCAGAGGUUAUAAGAUAUACAACUUCCUUCAAUUACUCCUGCAAAUAACACCGCUAUUGUAGACUGGCCUUUUGAGAUCUCUUUCCAGGUUUUUUUGCAUGUCUGACCCCUACGACUCCACCUGGACCCAAUGGCUGCAUCUGGACCGACAACCCCACUCCUGUGGCCUCACCCAGAAGCAAUUCAGCCUGCAGUAGGACAGCAUCAACCCCCUAUGAUUCCAUCUCUGCCCCAAUCAAUCAGCACUUGUGUGACUCCCAUCCAUUGUGUGAGGAUUUUACUAGUGUGACUCUCAGAGGACCCAUAAGGUUCAAGCAAUUCACCUGCCUCAGCCUCCCGAGCAGCUGGGACUAUACGCACGCGCCACCACGCCUGGCGGG